rnacentral:lncRNA from 1 species
AGAGGGAGGAGUUAAGGAGACAGACAGAGAGAGAGAGAGAUCUGAGGAGAAGAGGGAGAACCAAAAUGGAGGCUGACGUGGUGUUAUCAAAGAGACUCUUGUGCUGCGUGACCCCUGACUGUAACCAAGUGUCCUUCUCUCUGAGACGUUCCCUCGGAGCUUGUUCUCACAGCCCUCACCUCCAGUGACCUCCACGAACUUUUCCACACGAGGGGUUCUCUGCUUCCCUCCAUCUGAGCUGCGCAAUUCCACCAGGCCUUUUGCUCCUCUUCAGUCAGGUGCUUUGGAGGUAAUGAAGUCUUUCGGGGGAAAAAUAAACAAAGGAAAUGCACCCGGUUGAUGUCAAUGGACUUGUUUAACUAUUUAAGGCCACUGUCUCCAAGUGUAAGUGUGCUGCGGUGUGUUUUGUAAAGUAGCGCUUAUAAUCCACUGAGCUUUCCAAACAGCCCUCUUGCCUAUUAAGCCUGCAUUGAGAAGUGGGUUUAAUUUGCCAGAGUAGUUUUUUGUGAUAAUUACAGGACUUGCAGAUUAGCUUGAGUGACUUGGCAAGGUUCUGUAGCUAAUAAAAAAUCACACAGGAAAAAAAUUGUAACAUUCAAUUGCUUCAAGGUUCUUCACGAGAGAAACAUUAAACAAACCUGAUAGGCCAGUUUCCAGUCUGUGAAGUAGCAGAGAUAAAAUAGAGAUUUUAAAAGAUGUUUACUCGGGAGUAACAGAGGGGAUUGUUUGCUAGCUGCGGGAAGGAUUAGAACUGCCCAGCCUUUGGGCUAGUAAAGGUGUAUUAAAAGUAACUGGUGUGUGUGGGGAGGGUGGGGUGAAGCGAGCACAUGUGACCAUCCGGGAGCAACGUGGUUAGCCAAAGUACCGCUACACAUGCCUGUUUGUGGUCCUAGAAUUUGGAAAGGGGGAGGGAGCUUGAAAAGUUAGAUAUCAAUGCUCUCUCUCUCUCUCUCUCUCUCUCUCUCUCUCUCUCUCUGUGUGUGUGUGUGUGUGUGUGUGUGUAUAGAACCCGUUUUUAAUCCCAGCACUCAAGAGGCAGAAGCAGAGGGAGGUGGUCUCUGAAUUUGAGGCCAGCCUGGUUUACACAAUAUAUUCCAGGUCAGCCAGAGCUACAAAAAUCAUCUUGAAAACCCUAAAGAGGUCUGGUGAGAUGGCUUAGUGGUUGGGAGCACUGACUGCUCUUCCAGGGGUCCUGAGUUCAAUUCCCACCAACCACAUGGUGGCUUACUGUAAUGGGAUCCAGUGCCCUCUUCUGGGGUGUCUGAAGACGGCAACUGUGUACUCACAUGCAUACAAAUACAUAAAUAAAUAAAUUGUUUAAAAAGUUGACUAUAUAUAAAAAAAGGGGGGGGGAGAAAUCCUAAGGAAAAAAGAAAAAAGAAAAGAAAAAUUUGAGGUCAGUUUGAAAACCCUCUUAAAGAAGAUUAGGGGAAAAAAAGUAAACAAAGGCUGGGGGUGUAGUUUGGUUGGUACAGUGCUGGCCAGCAGCCAGAAUGUCCUGGAUUCAGCUAAUCUUUUGGUUGCCAAAACCAGGCAUGGUGAAAGAGCUCUAGCCAGCAGCCAUGGGUGUGGGAGGAUCAGAAGUUCAAGGUCAUUCGCAGACUUCGUGGAGAGUUUGAGGCUACUCUGGGCUUUAAGAGACCCUGACCCUGUCUCAAAAUAAACAAAAGAGAAAUAUCAAAAAAUAAAAUAUUUCAGAGAAAUAACUAAGUUUCUUAUAAAAAUUAAUUCAUACAUCUUAUGCAUAUGAAUAUUUUGUAUGUACGUCUAUUUGUCACAUUCUUGCUUGGUGCCCCAGAAGGCCAGAAGAGUUCAUCAGAUCCUCGGGAUCUGGAGUUACAGAUGGUUAUGAGCCACCAUGUGGGUGCUUGGAAUUGAACUUGGGCCCUAUGGAAGAACAGCCAGUACACUUAAUCACUGAGCCAUCUCCCCAGACCCCUAAAUAUCUUAUUGCACAAACUCUCAUUAAGUCUUUAAGCAUGACCAUGCUACAAGUUUUGCCUUCCACAGAUAGUUACUGUUUUACUCUGAUUAUCUACUGCAAUCUGCUCUGAGCAAUACUCCACACACACACACACACACACACAAAAAUAAUAAUAAAUAAAAUAACUGUCAGUGAGCUGGCAAGGCGGUAUAUGUCUGCAUCGUCAGGACUCAGGAAGCAGUGGCAGGUACAUGGCGAGUUUGGAGCUAGCUUGGACUAUACACAGAGUUCUAGGCCAGCCUACGCUAUAGCUCUAGAAUGAACUCCUGCUUUCAAAAGCAGGGAAUGUUUCAGAGACUCAAGGAAAGGAACUUGGCAGGCAGGCACCCAGGGUUCACAGUGUGGUGGCUGUGAGCCUGGCCCCUACAGUUAGGACUUCCAACUACAGCAAGAAGCUCAUUCAUCUUAUAAAGCUGCUGCCUUGAGGUCAAGCGGAGCAAGCACAGGCUAACUGCCUUGCAGUGGGCAACUGAUGAAGGGGGAUUAUUGCCUUUAGUUUGGGUAUUUUUUAAUUCUUUGAUGUUUUGUAGCGGAGGUGGGGGAGGGAGUUAUAAGGAACUUUUUUUUUUAAUCCUAAGCUAUCUAUAACUCAUGGCAAUGAUUAUACCUUUGUAAACAGAAAUGAAACACAUUUUUCUCUUUGCUUGAUCCUUUCCAAAUUCAGAAAUUCUGAUUGAAUAUUCCUAUUUCCAUGGUAAUCUUAUUAUUUGCAACACAUUCAGUGAGAACGCGUCCCCUUUGUGACAGAGUAUAACAGGAAAGUGGUAGAAACAUCAGAUAUGACCACACGGUUAUAAUAACUUACUGCAGAACUGGGCGAGGUGACCUUAGGUUAGGGUCGCCUCCCCUAAUGCACCUCCCUGACAAAGCACCCAACAGGGAUCAGACAGGUUAAGGGAGUUUGAAAGUGUAUUCAGGAGAAGGGCAGUGUAUCUUUUGUGCCACCUAGGAAAAGAAGCAUUCAAGAGAAAGAACUAGUCCCAAGCCUUGUUCUGGUAUGGCUUCCUAGUGUCAAGGGGCUUUGUGUGUAGUAUCUGUGUGUGUUAUUCACACAAAGGCCAGAAGACUACAUACAGAAAUCAACUCUCUCUUUCUACUGAACUCAGGUCAUCAAGCUUGGUGGCAGACAUCUUCAAUCACUGAGCCAAGUCUGGUCCCAUAGUAUUUUUUACGAACGAGCCUGAAAUUCACAGAUCCGACUGUGUUGGCUGGCCAGGCAUGUCCAUGGAUCCCCCUGUGUCUGCCCUGACAGAACUGGGCUUACAAGCUACCUUGCCCAACUUUUACGUGGAUGCUGGGGAUUUCAGUUUAGGGUCUCACAUUUGCAUAGCAAGAACUUUACCUCACUGAGCCGUUUCCCUGACUUCCUAGGAAGCAUUUAAAAAAUAUAGUCUGAAUCCAUAUGGAAAAUACCAGCCAAGAAAACUCUAAAUACCAAUGUGGCUCUGUACCAUUUGUGUUUUAUUGAUGUAGUGACCAGGACAACUCUAAUUAGACCAGAAUUAUUUUGCAAACAGUAUCAGAGUAGAGUAACCACACAUGUGUCACAGGAAAUUGUCCCUGGGCUGCACUGGGUCUUCCUGCUUUGAAGGGGGUAGUGGGGAAAAGGUGGACAGAGGUUCUCUCUCUGGAAUGAACUUUAUAGUCAGGCUUCCUGUCAAGUUCUCUUCUUUAGCAGGCUGUCCCCAGGUUCCUAACCUGCACUCAUUGUUCUAAGAAUUAAGUUGAGUCAUUCAGAGGCAAUCUGACUAUCUAAUUAAAUUCCUCCUUCUGUCCUUUUGGCACCUGAUAACUAUAGCCCAUCUUCUACAAGAAUCCUACUGAGUCAGUUUAACUAGGAGCCCUUGAUGUAAUUUUCCAUUCUCUGGCCUUUCUGUUCACAGAAGCACUCACUCUUUGGUUAUGAAUCCUGCCCUUGUUGUGUUUGGAGGAGAGCCCAGUCUUCUCCCCACUUGUAAUAAUCUUGACACCUUUCACAGUGGUUCUGAACAAAGUCUUUUAUACACUUAGCAUGUGUCAAUAUUUUCUUUAGCAGGACUUUGGGUCCCUAACCUGCAACUCAGCACUCAGUCCAUCAUGGGCUUUGCUAGUCUCUGUGACUUCUCCAGGGCAGGAAAGUGACAGGUUUCUGCGCAAGGGAGCCCGAGGUACCUGGUUCAGGAUGGAGAGGGCACUUGAGAGGCGUCAAAAGCAAGCACAGUUAGAGGACAUCAGCGAUGUUAAAACCCCACGAGGGUCAACAGUAGCCCAGGCAAAAUAAAGGAGCCUGAAGUGGAAAAACAGAAAUGGAACAAGACGUUUGUUCUGGAGCACGUGAGAUUGUCCUUCUAAGACAUUUCCAGAAGUAUUCAAAGGAAGAUUUAAUGGGAAAUCAUUAUGCAAAAGAGUCAGUAAUAUAUUUUAGUUUCAAAAAGUACGGAGCGUGACGCCUGUCAAUUAUACCUUCUGCAAAGGUGAGUGGCGGUUGUCCUUGCUGUUCCAAAAUGCAAAGAGAAACAAACAAACAAACAAACAAGCAAACCAGCUACUCCUAUUCCGCACUCCAAACACCAAGCAGAAAUGCUUCUGGGACAAACUGAGCUUCAUUCUUUAUGAAAAUGAAAACACUUCUUUCUGUGCACUAGGAAAAUGUUCUGCCUCUGAGCUGCAAAACCAGCACCAAACUUGAAAAGUUUGUGCAUCAAAGGAAAAAGGCAACCUACAGGAUGGGGGAGAAUAUUUGCAGGACACAUGUCCUGGAAGGAAUACAUAUUUAGACUGAAUAAAAUGAGUAAGAGGAGGGAUAGGGAGUUCGUGUUCAAUGUUGAGAGCUUGGGACAGUUGAGAAAACGCUCCGGAGUGUUCUGCAGAUGAAUGAUGGUGACGACUGCAUCAGUGUGAAUGUCCUUAACGCCGUCAAAAAUUGGUUAUAAUGGCAAAUUUUAUGCUACAUAUGUUUUACUACAAUAAAAAUGCCAGGAAAAUCUAACUGCUCCAAAUCCUGAAUUUAUUAACCCAAUAAAUUAGGAGAUGGUUAUUGACCUAUAAAUGGAUUUGUCAAUUUUUAAAAUGAUUUCCUUUAAAUUGAAUUCUUUCCUAGAGCUUUAUUGUCUCUUCACAAACCAUUAAACACUUGUUAAAGUGUUCAGAGAGGGCUGAGAUGGAGGAGGAAGUGAAAACCAAACAAACAGAUGAGGGACCUUCCCCAAAUGAUGUCUGCUAACAGGCUUCUUGGGUAUUCUAUUUAUAUAGAUUUUACAAGUGUUUUAUUUGAGAGGAAAAAUCCCUAGACCUUACAUAGUACAAUGAACUUCUUAUGCCUGUCAGCUAGAUUUAUUAAUUUUUAACGAGGUGUAUUACUUUUAAAAGCUAUCUAUUUACUAUUGGGGGAGGGAGAAGGACAAAGGACAUCUUGCAGAAGUCUGGUCUCUCCUGCUAUGUGGGUUCUGGAGAUAGGAAAUCAGGCAGGUUGUCAGGCCUAGAAGCAAAGGCCUGUCUGCACUGAGCCAUCUUACUUGUCUUAUUUUGUUACUUUUGAUGACCUAUUUUAGACAUCACUAUUCUAUAGCCCUAAGUAUAACUUCAAGUAUGUAUCUUCCACAAUGACUUUAUGACCAUGAAAUCAAUUCAAGAAAUUUAACAUGUAUGCAGUUCUAUCCAGCGUACAUACAGAUUUCUCAUCCCCCCUUUUACUGUAGUUUAUAGAAAAAGCAAUUCUCUUCCAUAUCUAGAGUUUGACAAGGAAUAUGCAUUGCAUUUGGUUUCUGUGUUCUUUAAUCUCUUGUUGUACAGAACUUCAACCUUUCAUGACAGGUUGAACAAUUUUGGAUCAUACAGGCUGUCAUGGUUUGAAUAUGUUUGGCCCAGGGAGUGGUACUGUUAGGGGUGUGGUCUUCUUGGAAUAGGUGUGUCACCGUGGGCGUGGGCUUUAAGACCCUCAUCCUUAGCUUCUGGAAGUCAGUCUUCCACUAGCAACCUUCAGAUGAAGAUGUAGAACUCUCACCAUCUCCUGCACUAUACCUGCCUGGAUAUCGCCAUGUUCCUGCCUUGAUGAUUAUGGACUGAACCUCUGAACCUGUAAGCCAGCCCCAAUUAAAUUUGUCCUUAUAAGAGUUACCUUGGUCAUGGUGUCUGUUCACAGCAGUAAAACCCUAACUAAGACACAGGCCAAUUACAGAAUGUCUCUUUUUGGUGUGUGCAGUGUUAAAGUUUGAAGCACAAGCCUAAUGCUUGUUAGACAAGCACUCUACCGCUGCUCUACAUCAGCAGCUCAGUGUGCCUCUUGUCUUGAUGGGCUCAUUGUUUUUUAUGACCCAGUGCAUUGGGGUGAGCAGCUCACACAGGUACGAAGGGGUCCCUCUCAGAGCUUAACAUCAGGGAACUCAAUGUUGGUUUGUCUGUUCUAUUUCAGCUGAGCUAGUAUCUGGCAGUUCCCCACAACCCCCAUCAAGUUACCACUUUUUUCUUUGUAAUUGUAAUUUGCAAAGAAAUAUUUGCAAGAUUAAGUAAUAGACUACACAACGUGUUUUAGCUUCCACUGAGCAUUCAGCCUGAACUGUUUUAUAAAGUUAUGAAAUGAUAGAUUUCCAACUUAAUAAUUAUUUUAAAGACUUAUUUUAUUUUUAGUUCUGCAUGUAUGCCUGUGUGUGCACGUGUGUACCUAUGUAUCUGUAUGGUUAUGUGCACAUGAAUGCAGAUGUCCAAGGAGAAGAGGCCAGACACAUUGGAUCCCUGGUGCUCAAGUGGGAGGUGGCUGUCAGCUGCUGUAGGAAGGUGAUGGGAACUCAGCUUGAGUCCUUUGCAAGAACAGCAUGAGCUCUUAAACACAGAGCCACAUCUUCAGUCCCUCUCUUAUUUUUUUAAAAAUUAUUCUCUCUCUGUGUAUGUGUGUGUAUACAGAGGUCAGAGGAUCAUUUUUGUAAAAUUAGUUCUCUCUACCUUUUUUUGUGGGCUCUGGGGACUAAACUCAAGUUGUUGGGAUUUUGUGACAAGUGCUGUAUCCACUGAGCCCUCUCACAUGCCCUUAAAUGUUAUUUUAAAUAAUAGCAAAUGAGUACGUUCAAGCAUACGAGAAUAAGCAUGUCCUAUUGAUUUGAAUAUGCAAAAGUAUGCCAAUUUUUUAAAUCUCUAUUACCAAGUGGACAAGUAUUCCAUUUUAUCUCCAAAAGUAAAGAUUUCUUUUAGAUACAGUCAUGUGGAUUAUACAACUUGACUGAAGCCAUGUCUCCAAGAUACAUACCUAGAGGGUAAAGGGAAUGCUUUAAAGGAGCGUGAUUAUGAAUAUCCAAGCUGAAAAUAAACACUAAUUACUAACAAAAAGGAUUACUGAGAAAAAUAUGGGUUGGUUUUCAGUACUUGACUCUGUAAAGUUAUUUCUUUUCUUAUUUAGUUUUUAUUCAUAAUCAUAAACUUAACUUUGCCAUCCAGCUAGACUUGAAGGGGAAUGAGGAAAAUAUGGAACCCAAAGAACUUGAGCAGAGAUUACAGGGUAUUUCAAGCAGAUGGGGUAGGGAUGCUCUCCUGCGCUACAGAAGGAAUGGUUGGAUGGGUAAAAUGCCUGCAAGUCAAAAGAAAUUAGAGUUAUCCACAGUCGGAAAUGGUCUUGCUGGUCUUUCCAUUCCUGGACCCAAAACACUCCAUGGCUUCCACAAUGUUCAUGCCUUCUUUCACCUUCCCAGACACCACAUGCUUGCCAUCCAGCCACUUAGUCUUGGCAGUGCAGAUAAAAAACUGGGAACCGUUUGUGUUGGUCCAGUAUUUGCCAUGGACAAGAUGCCAGGACCUGUAUGCUUCAGGAUGAAGAUCUCAUCCUCAAAUUUCUCUCCAUAGAUGGAUCUGCCGCCAGUGCCAUUAUGGCAUGUAAAGUCACCACCCUGGCACAUGAAUCCUGGAAUAAUUCUGUGAAAGGAGGAACCCUUCUAGUAAAAUCCUUUCUCUCCAGUGCUCAGAGCAUGAAAGUUUCCCGCUGUCUUUGGAACUUUGUCUGCAAACAGCUGGAAGGAGACUCUUCAAGGGCUCGUCAUCGGCCGUGAUGUCAGAGAACACGGUGGGGUCGACUGUGGCUACAGCAAGAGGACCAACGGUACUGUUGCUCUAGCUACAGGAAUAAUCCUGGGCAGCACUUGUUGACCUUGGUCACUGUCAAGGGAAGAUCGGCUGUUCCCACUGAGGGCAUCUUGAUGGAUUAAGGUGAUCAGCUGAUCAAUGUGAGGGGACAGAUGGGAGCUAGGAACUGUCUCGGUACUGAGUCAUUUUUCAUCUAAUGUGCAAGAAACCCAAAGAGCACAUCAAACAGCGAACUACGCCUAAGCUAUCCAUGUUUCUCCUGCUUCUUCUGAGAGGGUGAUUUACACGUAGCUCAACACUCGAGUGUUGCAGUAUCGAGUGACUGCAACCAAACAAUGGAACAUGCAUCGUGCCUGUUGACAGAGCCUGCAGUUGGCUUGGAACCGGGACCAUGCUGCAUUCGACAUCGUUCCUGGUGGCUGACUUGUUCCCAUAGAAUUAAAUGCUAGGCAUCCAGAAGCUGACUGUGCAUCUGAUGGGCUCACUAACAUUCAGGAACAGGUUGGCCUCAGACUUCAUCAAUGGAAAGUGUAGGCAUAGGACAAAAAAAAGAGCACGUUUGAAAGACUACAUUUUCAUGAAAUUGGAAAUGCUACAUGCAAGCUGCAGAUGCUGAUUGCAGAGUCAGAAGACAUGGCCGUCAGUGUUAGGACUCUGCCUUAUUCUGCUAUUUCUCCUUGACGACCUACAGUUUGCAUUGUGGGUGGCAUUCAUUAACGAGGGCAGUAAAAACAUGGAGAAAACAUUGCAAGCUCUCCUUCGUGUUUCGCUCACUGGCCAAGUAGCUAACCAACUAGGUGUUCAGGCUCCCAUGUGUCUCAAUAUGAUGUGGCUCCUUCCAGUAGCAACCAUCCUGAGCAGAGACCUUUGUUCUAAUUUAAAAAUUAGACAUGAUAUAGAGCUUACCACACAUUUUUCCCCCUGAAGAUUAAAGAUCUUCAUGAAGGUACUGGCUUAAAAGACAUCAACCCCAAGCCUUUCGAAGGAUAUGCACUUGAGAUUGCCAUACUCGAUGGUGCGUCCAAUUAACUUAGAAAUACCCUUGACAUUUCUCAUCCGUGAAGAGAAGCUUUAGGUGACAGUUUUCAUGGUGUGGGUACUCUCGGUGCCUAAUUUGCUUUUUUUUCUUGUUUUCAAGCCUGAAAGGGAAAUAGCCUUGGCUUUCAGCUCUGGAGCGCGAUGCCCUCCUUACGAGUAUUCAGCUACUGUCUGAACCAUUGUACUUGCCUUCCCCUCCAUACCCCUUUUUCCCCAAAGUCCCGUUGAUAGCUCAUU